GCGAGUGAAGCGGCAAAAGCUCAAAUUUGAAAUCUGGCGCCUUCGGUGUCCGAGUUGUAAUUUGAAGAUUGUAACCUUGGGGUUGGCUCUUGUCUAUGUUUCUUGGAACAGGACGUCACAGAGGGUGAGAAUCCCGUGCGAUGAGAUGCCCAAUCCUAUGUAAGGUGCUUUCGAAGAGUCGAGUUGUUUGGGAAUGCAGCUCUAAGUGGGUGGUAAAUUCCAUCUAAAGCUAAAUAUUGGCGAGAGACCGAUAGCGAACAAGUACAGUGAUGGAAAGAUGAAAAGAACUUUGAAAAGAGAGUGAAAAAGUACGUGAAAUUGUUGAAAGGGAAGGGUUUGAGAUCAGACUCGAUAUUUUGUGAGCCUUGCCUUCGUGGCGGGGUGACCCGCAGCUUAUCGGGCCAGCAUCGGUUUGGGCGGUAGGAUAAUGGCGUAGGAAUGUGACUUUACUUCGGUGAAGUGUUAUAGCCUGCGUUGAUGCUGCCUGCCUAGACCGAGGACUGCGAUUUUAUCAAGGAUGCUGGCAUAAUGAUCCCAAACCGCCCGUCUUGAAACACGGACCAAGGAGUCUAACGUCUAUGCGAGUGUUUGGGUGUUAAACCCGUACGCGUAAUGAAAGUGAACGUAGGUGAGGGCUCUUUUGAGUGCAUCAUCGACCGAUCCUGAUGUCUUCGGAUGGAUUUGAGUAAGAGCAUAGCUGUUGGGACCCGAAAGAUGGUGAACUAUACCUGAAUAGGGUGAAGCCAGAGGAAACUCUGGUGGAGGCUCGUAGCGGUUC
rnacentral:rRNA from 1 species